CCUACGGGGGGCAGCAGUCGAGAAUCAUUCACAAUGGGGGAAACCCUGAUGGUGCGACGCCGCGUGGGGGAAUGAAGGUCUUCGGAUUGUAAACCCCUGUCAUGUGGGAGCAAAUUAAAAAGAUAGUACCACAAGAGGAAGAGACGGCUAACUCUGUGCCAGCAGCCGCGGUAAUACAGAGGUCUCAAGCGUUGUUCGGAAUCACUGGGCGUAACGCGUGCGUAGGCUGUUUCGUAAGUCGUGUGUGAAAGGCGCGGGCUCAACCCGCGGACGGCACAUGAUACUGCGAGACUAGAGUAAUGGAGGGGGAACCGGAAUUCUCGGUGUAGCAGUGAAAUGCGUAGAUAUCGAGAGGAACACUCGUGGCGAAGGCGGGUUCCUGGACAUUAACUGACGCUGAGGCACGAAGGCCAGGGGAGCGAAAGGGAUUAGAUACCCCAGUAGUC
rnacentral:rRNA from 1 species